rnacentral:rRNA from 1 species
GACGAAGGGGGCUAGCGUUGUUCGGAAUUACUGGGCGUAAAGCGCGUGUAGGUGGUUUUCCAAGUUGGAUGUGAAAGCCUUGAGCUCAACUCAAGAAAUGCAUUCAGGACUGGGAGACUAGAGGACCGGAGAGGAUAGUGGAAUUCCCAGUGUAGUGGUGAAAUACGUAGAGAUUGGGAAGAACACCAGUGGCGAAGGCGGCUAUCUGGACGGUUUCUGACACUAAGACUCGAAAGCGUGGGGAGCAAACAGG